rnacentral:rRNA from 1 species
GAUGAACGCUGGCGGCGUGCCUAAUACAUGCAAGUCGAGCGAAUGGAUUAAGAGCUUGCUCUUAUGAAGUUAGCGGCGGACGGGUGAGUAACACGUGGGCAACCUGCCCAUAAGACUGGGAUAACUCCGGGAAACCGGGGCUAAUACCGGAUAACAUUUUGAACCGCAUGGUUCGAAAUUGAAAGGCGGCUUCGGCUGUCACUUAUGGAUGGACGCGCGUCGCAUUAGCUAGUUGGUGAGGUAACGGCUCACCAAGGCAACGAUGCGUAGCCGACCUGAGAGGGUGAUCGGCCACACUGGGACUGAGACACGGCCCAGACUCCUACGGGAGGCAGCAGUAGGGAAUCUGCCGCAAUGGACGAAAGUCUGACGGAGCAACGCCGCGUGAGUGAUGAAGGCUUUCGGGUCGUAAAACUCUGUCGUUAGGGAAGAACAAGUGCUAGUUGAAUAAGCUGGCACCUUGGCGGUACCUAACCAGAAAGCCACGGCUAACUACGUGCCAGCAGCCGCAGUAA